UACAGAGACUGCAAGCGUUAUUCGGAUUCACUGGGCGUAAAGGGUGCGCAGGCGGUUGUGUGUGUCAGGUGUGAAAGCCCGGGGCUUAACCCCGGAAUUGCGCCUGAAACUACAUGACUAGAGCAUUGGAGAGGGUAGCGGAAUUCACGGUGUAGCAGUGAAAUGCGUAGAUAUCGUGAGGAACACCAGAGGCGGAGGCGGCUACCUGGACAAUUGCUGACGCUCAGGCACGAAAGCGUGGGGAGCAAAAGGG
rnacentral:rRNA from 1 species